rnacentral:lncRNA from 1 species
GGGAGCAGCCGGCCCCAUCUUGGGAGUGGCCCACCACCAUCUUGGGAGCUCUAAGAACAAAGACCUGCUGGUAACACUAUCUCUGGCCACCUAUCUCUGGCCUAUCUAUCUCUGGUUCCUAUCUCUGGCCAUGGCUUGAGCCAUUUGGGUGCAGUGAACAGGAAACUGUAAAGAGUGACAGCCCUGCUUCUACAAAAUGGAUGCCAAGUAUCUCUGACUAAAUGCAAUUCACAGAGGUCUUCUGGGUCAAGGGAGAGCUAUCUUUCCUCAAAAUCCUCAGAUGACUUGAAUGUAUGAAGAUGACCUGGCAAUUCAUCCUUGCUCACUGUUCCAGUGCUCCUACUAGUGAAAGCACUUAGGUGUUUGAAAUGACACCAAAGAAGCUCUUUCUGAGUUGGGAAAAAUUGGUAA